CAACCCUCAAGCUCCGGCUUGGUGUUGGGGAUCGGCAACCCGGCUUCGCGCCGACGCCGUCCCCCAAAUGCAGUGGCGGUCACGCUGUAGCUUCCUAUGCGUAGUAGCACACCUCGCACUGGAAAGCAGCGCGGCCACGCCGUAAAACCCUCAACUUUUUGU
rnacentral:misc_RNA from 1 species